UACGUAGGGACCGAGCGUUGUCCGGAAUCAUUGGGCGUAAAGAGCGUGUAGGCGGCUUGUUAAGUCUUGCGUGAAAUCUCGGGGCUCAACCCCGAGCGGUCGUGAGAAACUGGCAGACUAGAGUGCGGGAGAGGAGAGUGGAAUUCCUGGUGUAGCGGUGAAAUGCGCAGAUAUCAGGAGGAACACCAAUGGCGAAGGCAGCACUCUGGGACGUGUCUGACGCUGAGACGCGAAAGCGUGGGGAGCAAACAGG
rnacentral:rRNA from 1 species